GACGAACGCUGGCGGCGUGCUUAACACAUGCAAGUCGAACGAAGUGGCGAACGGGUGAGUAACGCGUAAUCAACCUGCCCUUCAGGGGGGGACAACAGUUGGAAACGACUGCUAAUACCGCAUACUGAAGGGGGGGAUGGUGUCGUAUUAGCUAGUUGGAGGGGUAACGGCCCACCAAGGCGAUGAUCAGUCGCCGGUCUGGGAGGGUGGACGGCCACAUUGGGACUGAGACACGGGCCAGACUCCUACGGGAGGGAGCAGUGGGGAAUCUUCCGCAAUGGACGGAAGUCUGACGGAGCAACGCCGCGUGAGUGAUGACGGCCUUCGGGUUGUAAAGCUCUGUUAAUCGGGACGCGGUACCGGAAGAGAAAGCCACGGCUAACUACGUGCCAGCAGCCGCGGUAAUAC
rnacentral:rRNA from 1 species